rnacentral:rRNA from 1 species
UACAGAGGUCUCAAGCGUUGUUCGGAUUCAUUGGGCGUAAAGGGUGUGUAGGUGGCGCCGUAAGUCGGGUGUGAAAUUUCGGAGCUUAACUCCGAAACUGCAUUCGAUACUGCGGUGCUUUGAGGACUGGAGAGGAGACUGGAAUUCAUGGUGUAGCAGUGAAAUGCGUAGAGAUCAUGAGGAAGACCAGUGGCGAAGGCGGGUCUCUGGACAGUUCCUGACGCUGAGGCACGAAGGUCAGGGGAGCAAACGGG